rnacentral:rRNA from 1 species
CAAAUUGAGAGUUUGAUCCUGGCUCAGGACGAACGCUGGCGGCGUGCCUAAUACAUGCAAGUCGAGCGAGCUGAAUUCAAAGAUCCCUUCGGGGUGAUUUGUUGGACGCUAGCGGCGGAUGGGUGAGUAACACGUGGGCAAUCUGCCCUAAAGACUGGGAUACCACUUGGAAACAGGUGCUAAUACCGGAUAACAACAUGAAUCGCAUGAUUCAAGUUUGAAAGGCGGCGUAAGCUGUCACUUUAGGAUGAGCCCGCGGCGCAUUAGCUAGUUGGUGGGGUAAAGGCCUACCAAGGCAAUGAUGCGUAGCCGAGUUGAGAGACUGAUCGGCCACAUUGGGACUGAGACACGGCCCAAACUCCUACGG